ACCUUGGGGAGCUCAGUCAGUCGAUCAUGAGACUCUCAAAUGGAUGGAAAGCCACAAGACUCUUAAUCUCAGGGUUGUGGGUUUGAGCCCCAUGUUGGGUG